AGGAGCAGAUCCAUUUGGAGGGGUGUCCUUGCUGCAGGCAAUACUCACUGGGAUACUAUGUAGUUCAGAUUGGCUUCAAGAUCCUCCUGCCUGUUAUUUAAUCUGAGUGAUGGGAUAGCAUCUUGCUCUACAGCCCAUGCUGCCUCUGAAUUUCCUAUCCUGAGACUUGUCUCCAACUAGCAAUUUUCCUGCUUCAGUCUCUCAAGUGCUGGGGUUAUAGUCAUGUACCAUCAUUCCUUGCUUCAACCCUUCUUUUAGGAGACAUAAUUCAACCUGAAGCAAUGAUUAUCAGUACAAAUCAUCAGAAGAAAUGGAACUCUUUAAAUUUCAAGACAUAAAAA
ensembl:lncRNA